rnacentral:rRNA from 1 species
CCUACGGGGGGCAGCAGUGAGGAAUAUUGGUCAAUGGGCGAGAGCCUGAACCAGCCAAGUCGCGUGAGGGAGUACUGCCCUAUGGGUUGUAAACCUCUUUUGUCGGGGAGCAAAAGCCGGACGUGUCCGGCUGUGAGAGUACCCGAAGAAAAAGCAUCGGCUAACUAAGUGCCCGCCGCCGCGGUAAAACGGAGGAUGCGGGCGUUAUCCGGUUUUUUUGGGUUUAAAGGGGGCGCAGGGGGAUUUUAAAGUAAGCGGGAAAAUCGUGGGGCACAACCCCCACCUGCCGUUGAAACUGGGGAUCUAGAGUGUGCGAGAGGUAUGCGGAAUGUGUGGUGUAGCGGUGAAAUGCAUAGAUAUCACGCAGAACCCCGAUUGCGAAGGCAGCAUACCGGUGCACAACUGACGCUCAGGCACGAAAGCGUGGGUAUCGAACAGGAUUAGAUACCCUUGUAGUC